GACGUAGGAGGCGAGCGUUGUCCGGAUUCAUUGGGCGUAAAGAGCUCGUAGGCGGUUUGUCACGUCGGAUGUGAAACCCUGAGGCUCAACCUCAGGCCUGCAUUCGAUACGGGCAGACUAGAAUUCGGCAGGGGAGACUGGAAUUCCUGGUGUAGCGGUGAAAUGCGCAGAUAUCCUAAGGAACACCGGUGGCGAAAGCGGCUCACUGGAUCUCUUCUGACGCUGAGGCACGAAAGCUAGGGUAGCGAACGGG
rnacentral:rRNA from 1 species